UCGUAUAUUUUAUUUCCCCCCUUUAGAGCUAUUUCAACGUUUAUGCUGCGUAGCUGCACCCUUCCCUUCUCACUCUCUCUCCAUUACCGUCUCUGACUUCUCCAUUGAAGCGGCUAGUGAGCUUCCUCUCCUCCAUUGAACCAGCUUUCUGAGAAAAAAAACCAUGUUGUUCUCAAGAGGAUGUUCCCAGAUUUCAAGAACUGGGUUGAAUCAAUUUCGAUUGUUAUGCAACUCUAACGCCAUUAUCAAUUCUUCUUCAAUGUCUAAGUAUAUCUGGGGUUUUACAGAAAAUACAUCUGGGAGAUUCUUUCAUGAUGAUGCAAGACAUUAUAUACAUCAUGCUGCAACGUCUACAAUUGAGGUUAGGUGUGGCAUUUGCAGAUUCAACUUC